GAUGAAGAACGCAGCGAAAUGCGAUAAGUAAUGCGAAUUGCAGAAUCCGUGAGUCAUCGAAUCUUUGAACGCACAUUGCGCCCUUUGGUAUUCCGAAGGGCAUGCCUGUUCGAGCGUCAUUAUCACCCCUCAAGCCCUCGGCUUGGUGUUGGACGGUUUGGUGGAGGCCCCCUCGGGGGCUCCUGCCCCUCCCAAAGACAAUGACGGCGGCCUCGUUGGACCCCCGGUACACUGAGUUCUUCACGGGACACGUAUCGGACACAUGGGUUUACGGGACACGGUCUGCCUCCCCUCAGGGAGAAUCUUUCUAAGGUUGACCUCGGAUCAGGUAGGGAUACCCGCUGAACUUAAGCAUAUCAAUAAGCGGAGGA
rnacentral:misc_RNA from 1 species